UGGGGAAUAUUGCACAAUGGACGGAAGUUUGAUGCAGCGACGCCGCGUGGAGGGUGUAGGCCUUCGGGUUGUGAACUCCUUUUUCUCGCGAAAAAGGCACAGUUUUGGCUGUGUUGAUGGUAGUGGGGGAAGAAGCGCCGGCUAACUACGUGUCAGCAGCCGCGGUAAUACGUAGGGCGCGAGCGAUGUCCGGAAUUAUUGGGCGUAAAGAGCUCGUUGGUGGUUCGUCCCGUAUGUCGAGAAAGCCAGCAGCUGAACUGUUGGUAUGCGGUGGGUACAUGCGUGCUUGAGUGCGGUAGGGGUGACUGGGUUUCCUGGUGUAGCUGUGGAAUGCGCAGAUAUCAGGAGGAACACCGAUGGCGAAGGCAGGUCACUGGGCCGUUACUAACACUAAGGAGCGAAAGCGUGGGGAGCGAACAGG
rnacentral:rRNA from 1 species